AGUUAUUUGAAGAAAUGAAGCAACUGCAAAACCAUAACCUCCGUGUGACUGCGUCCUGACUACAGUGCAGUGUGACAGUACGUUUGAAAUACAGACACAAAAGCCUGGACCCAGGGAUGAGCCAAAUGAAACGUUCACAUCAUACCCACUCUGUUUCUCUUCUGCAUACCACAGGUUUUGGUGAAAUGUUUGAAAUAAAGUGCUCUGAAGAGGAAGGAAAAUUGGCCGCCUGCCUCAAAACCUAGUGUCUCCCCCCCUAAAUCUACUGUCCCCUACUGCAGGGUUACCCGUUUUUAUGGGGAAUUUGUCCCAAGCACCAGGCACCAGCCAAGAUUGACUCUCCUCGCUUCAUUCCCAAACCCCAGGAAGAAGUGAACUGCAGUCCAUGUGCAAAAAGUUAUUCCUUGAGGUCUGGUUAAAUCCAAAAAGUCUUAAUGAAAAUAAUAUAAUAAGGUCGGAGUUCAAAUUAUGUCAAGUAUUAAUCCUCACUGGCAGUUAUAGGCCAAUUCCUUCUGUUAAGAUGGCUAUAAGUCUGAAUUUACUGCUUUCCCUUUUAUUACUUGGCUGCUCUGUAAUACUGUCAGAUACUUAAAAAGGUUCUAAAGAGUAUCUCACCUGAGGAAAUGGCUCCGCUGAUGCGAGCAGCACAUUUUCCGGCUUUAAAUCACAGUGCACAAUAUUUUUAAAAUGUAGAUUCCUCAAGGCAACUAGGAUCUGUUAUUAAAGAAAACAGAAUUUUUUCAGUGCUUUGAAAAAAUCAUAAACCCCCACCUGAGCUCUUGAAUGGUAUGAUAAUUUGAAAAGUCUACUACAGUUUGUCAAGUUUUAACUGAAGUGUUACUCUGUUCUUCAAAGUUAAAAAUUCCCAAAAUAACCCAAAAUGUAAAAGCAUGCCAUUUCUCUGUUUUCAAGUACUGUUUAAAAAAAAAAAAAAAAGUUAAAGUACCUGUGUGACCAUGAAUUUAGUAAUUCGUUCUGGAAGUCGACUUUUCUCACUGGAUAGAAUCAUUUCCAACAUAUCUCCAUGCAGUUUUUCCAUUACUACAAACACUCGUUCUGGAGUUUCAAACAUACAUUCCAGGUUUACAAUCCCAGGAUGGUGCAAAUUCUGGAGAGUUGCAGGAUACGGAUAUGACCAACAUAAGUAGAAAAAUAAUUUUACUAUGCAAACAUCUAACAAUGUACUGCGACUGUCUGGAAUACAUGGCAUAGAAAGAAAAACAAAAAUAAGCUGUAAAAGCAAACGAAUAGGAUCAUGGAUCGGAUUUUCCAAGAUCUGUAGUGCAAUGGAUGCCCUGAGGGGAAAGGAGGUCUUUCCAGGUAAUUACAUAAGUGUCCUUGUCCAUUACUACUACAUUUUUCUUCCUCAUCUUUUUAGUCUUCUGACGCUGUGGUAAUUUUAUGCUGUCCAUGAACAGACACCAACUGCCAAUCAAAUUUUAGCUAACUACACAGAGCUUUAGCUCUUUGGGGCUGUAUCUGUGGAGGUCUGUGCUCAAGAGAUGGUUCUGUUUUUAGGGUAGUUAUUUAUCUAAGUCUGCAUUCUCAAUCACAUCUGCAUUUGGUUUUCCUGCUUUCAGGCUCAAGAUCUCUACCUCCAUCUUCACGCUUCUUAAGCACCACUAUGUUACCAGGGUUGCAAAAAUAUAAACCUGAAUGUGACACUGUUUCUGCUAAUAAAAAAGCCAUCUAUCUUACUGAUUAAAAAACAAAAACCUUCCUCAAAAGCAAAUUAUCUUAAGUCAGCUAUGCUCAAAAAUAUUCCAUGGUUUUCUAGUCCUGGAUAUAAAUCUAUUCCUCUGCUUAGACUUUCAUAUCUUCAUUAAAGGUGAUUAAACUUUUUAUUAUUAGAAGUA